rnacentral:misc_RNA from 1 species
AGCAAAAGCUUGAACAAAUAAUCACUGCAAAUUCGACAAUAAAAAAUAUUUAUAAGGGAAUUACUUAAACACCGACGAAACCCAAAAAUCACAAACACGGGGGAGGGGGUCAACUGAUCUAAAGUCAAGUGACCUAGAUCUAAGCAAUCAAGCCAAUAACAAAGCAAAAAAUGAAUUCAAUCAUCAGGUUAUUGAAAUUAAGGGCCAAACAAUAACAACUAGAGCACAUAUUAAGAAAAUUGCAGAGAUAUUAUUAAUUAGCGAAUUAAUUCAUUCCAGAUCCAAGUUAAUUACACAUAUAUUAGAUAUAAUUUGAUCAAGAUGGAGAAACAGAA